UUGGCUGGCCUUCGCGGGCUGGCCAGAGGACUCAAACCCUUGAAUCUUUGCUGUCUGAGUACUAUAUAAUAGUUAAAACUUUCAACAACGGAUCUCUUGGUUCUGGCAUCGAUGAAGAACGCAGCGAAAUGCGAUAAGUAAUGUGAAUUGCAGAAUUCAGUGAAUCAUCGAAUCUUUGAACGCACAUUGCGCCCUCUGGUAUUCCGGGGGGCAUGCCUGUUCGAGCGUCAUUACAACCCUCAAGCUUAGCUUGGUAUUGGGCUCGCCCUUCAUGGGCCUGCCUCAAAAUCAGUGGCGGCUCCGUCCAGUCUCAAGCGCAGUAAUACUCGUCGCUUGUUUGGCUUGGUCGGUGGCCUGCUAACAACCCCCAAUUUUACAAGGUUGACCUCGGAUCAGGUAGGGAUACCCGCUGAACUUAAGCAUAUCAAUAAGCGGAGGAAGA
rnacentral:rRNA from 1 species